GAUGAACGCUGGCGGCGUGCUUAACACAUGCAAGUCGAACGAUGAUGCCCAGCUUGCUGGGUGGAUUAGUGGCGAACGGGUGAGUAACACGUGAGUAACCUGCCCUUGACUCUGGGAUAAGCCUGGGAAACUGGGUCUAAUACCGGAUACGACCAUCUGGCGCAUGUCAUGGUGGUGGAAAGCUUUUGUGGUUUUGGAUGGACUCGCGGCCUAUCAGCUUGUUGGUGGGGUAAUGGCCUACCAAGGCGACGACGGGUAGCCGGCCUGAGAGGGUGACCGGCCACACUGGGACUGAGACACGGCCCAGACUCCUACGGGAGGCAGCAGUGGGGAAUAUUGCACAAUGGGCGCAAGCCUGAUGCAGCGACGCCGCGUGAGGGAUGACGGCCUUCGGGUUGUAAACCUCUGUCAGUAGGGAAGAAGCGAAAGUGACGGUACCUGCAGAAGAAGCGCCGGCUAACUACGUG
rnacentral:rRNA from 1 species